AAUAAAAUAACGCAAGGACUAAAAGGAGAAUUUCCAAAAGAGAUACAAAGUCAAUGCUUUGGUCUUUCGAGUCUAUCGCUUCCGAGCCCUAAAAACAAAACCGGAAGCUCGAGAUCCAAUGGCUGAGACAUCGUCUCCGGCGAUCGCCGGCGAAUCCCAGCCGUCCAUCCCCACCUCCUCCAUCGUCUCCAUCAACGUCGGCGGCGAGCUGUUCCAAACUACCACGCAAACCCUCUCCGCCGCCGGCGCUGGCUCCGUCCUAGCCACCCUACCCGCCGGCUCCGUCUCCUUCUUCGACCGUGACCCUUCUCUCUUCUCCUCCCUCCUCUCCCUCCUCCGCUCCUCCUCGCCGCCGGCCAACCCCUCCGACCUCCUCCCCGAGCUCCGCUUCUUCUCCAUCGAUCCCCUUCUCCUCCUCCCCAAAUUUGAUCCCUUUUCCCUCCAAAGAUCCCUUCUUUUGCCCCUCCACGGCCGCAACCACCCCUCCGCCCUCGCUGCCGGCGCCGGCUCCAUCCACGUCGGCCAUGGCGGAAAAAUCACCACUUUCGACUCCACCCUCUCCCGCCGUGCCACUGUGCUGACCCCUCUCCCCGCCAUCGAUUCCCUCCUCUCCAUCUCCCCUUCUUUAGUCGCCGCCGGCGCCUCCGACUUCCCCUCCGUCCAUCUCAUCAACAUCCCCUCCGGCCACGUCAACCAAACCCUAGACUGGUCCCCAACCCCUUUGAACUCUUCGCCUCCCUCCAUCGUCCAAGCCCUCACCUCCUCAUUGGACCACCUCUUCGCGAGCUUCGAAUCCUCUCGCCGUACUUCCAACGCCAUCGUCGCCUUCGACCUUAACACCUUCACGCCGGCGACGGAGAUUGCACGCGGAGAGAUUUACGGAGCCGAGCUCGACUCCGCCAUUCCCGCAACCAAGCUCAAAUGGGUGGAAAGCCUCAAGCUUUUGAUGGCUGCCGGCUCACACGCCGGGCCCUCAGGGCUCACCGGGAAUAUCCGGCUGUGGGACGUGCGCUCCGGCGCCGCCGUUUGGGAGUCGCCGGAGAAAGUUGAUUGCUUUGCUGAUGUUACUGUUUGUGAUGCCUUGUUGGGGAUUUUCAAGAUUGGAUUGUUUUCUGGUGAUGUGUUCUUCAUGGAUUUGAGGAAAAUUGGAAGUGGAGAGAGUUCUUGGAUGUGUUUAGGAGAUCAGAGAAAGGGAAUAGUGAAUGGGAGGAAGGAAGGGAAUGGUUGUAGGAUUGAGAGUUAUGGGAAUCAAGUGUUUGUUAGUAGAGGAGAAGAAGUCGAAAUGUGGUCAUCGGUGUCGAUGGCCGGAGCCGGAGAGAAAGUAAUGAAGAAGAACUUGAUGGGGAAGACCGAAAAACACGACCGGAAUAGGAUUGUGCAUAUGGCUUUCGGUUGUAACCGGAUGGUGAUUGCUCGGAAAGAUGAGCAUUGUGUUGAGGUGUGGCAGAGUUCUUGCUGAAAUCUGUCGGAAAAAUUCUUGGAGCUUUAUCAAGCAGGCACUACUGAGUUCUUGCUGAAAUCUGUCAGAAAAAUUCUUGGAGCAGUUUCAAGCAGGCACUACUGAGAUGUAAGCUAGCAAACUACAACCAUUGACACAGAUCAAAACAAAGCAAGGACUAAAAAGCCAAUCAAAAACUAAGCCCAGCUUCAGCAAUCCAGUGAGGAAAGAUGCUAACUUGUCCCGCAAAAUCGUUGCAGCAUCUCCGGGCAAUCAAACAAGUGAAGGUCGAAUAUAAUCCAUGGGAUUCUUCAGUCUCCAAGUUAAUCAAGUACUUGAUUUUGCUUGAAUUUUACUGUCAAUGUAUCAUUGAUGUGAUUUUGUUGGGAUGCAUGAAUUCCAAUUCAUACUAAUGUAGUUCUUGAUUUGAUCUUAACUUUUUUGCUACAAUUGCACCGUUAAUGUUGUUUUCAAUGAAGUAUAGAUUCAAUAUACUCAUCAAGUUUGAUUUUA